rnacentral:pre_miRNA from 1 species
GUUGUGAAGGCAUAGCGACUGUCUGUGUAUAUAGUGACUCGCUUGCCCUUUGCCGCCCG